AAGAAAAAUAAAAGAAAGUCUUCAUCCCUCUUCUAACCUACGUGCAGUAGCUUUAAAAAAAAAAAAAGGAUGAAGCCUUCCUCACAUUGAUCAUCUUCUUCUCCAUUUAUUUUUCCCUUAUUUUUGAUUCAAUACCCUAAAUUCAUGAAUUUUGUUCAACUUUCUUCACGAUUCAACUUUCCUUCAUCUACCUUUUUCAAUACUUAGAUAUUGUGAGUAUUUCAAAGAGGUAAAAUUUGGGUUUUAUUUUGGACGUUUUUGGGACGAACUUCGGAUCAAAAGGGCGUUUUUCGGGUCUUCUUGUGUGAUUUUUAUCUUCCAUAUUCAAAUUGCGGGUUCGUAGAGGAACCUUUCUGACUCGAGAUAGAGUUUUGUUAGCUGUGGUUGCUGAUAAGGGACUUGAAGAUAGUUAGCUCCGGUUGGGUUAAAGAGUGUGUUGGAUCCCUUUUGAUUUAAUAGGACUUUUAAAAAGACUUCCGCUCUUAUUUAUUUAUAAGAUUUAUGUUCUGGUUUUUAAUAAUUAUUUUACAUUCUAUUUCGUUGGUCUGUAAUAAUUAGUUAAAACUUUUGGUUAUUGUUUUAGUUAGAACAAUUAGCCUUGCGGUUAUUAUUAAUAAUUAUCGCGGCGUAGCACCUUUGGAUUUCUGAAUUUAUUUUUAUUAAGUUGAUUUUAGAAGUAUUGGAAAUUCAGGGUUGUUACAGAAGGAAGCUCCAGUCAAAGCCAAAGACAACAAACCUCAAGCCAACCUUGCUGAAGAUGAUGUCAUUACUGCUGUGGUGUCCGAGGUAAAUCUGGUAAGCAAUGUUUCAGAAUGAAUCGUGGAUACUGGUGCAACCCGUCAUAUCUGUGCCAACAAGGAAGUGUUCCAAGACUACCAGAAAGUUCCAGAAUCAGAGUGCAACUUCAUGGGAAAUUAAACUCAAGCACUGUGAGUGUUUUAGGCAAAGGAAAGGUUUUCCUGAAAUUUACAUCCCGGAAAACCAUUGCUUUGCAGAAUGUUCUGCAUGCUCCUGAUAUCCGCAGAAAUCUCAUUUCUGGUUCACUUUUAAACAAAGCUGGGAUUAAGUUAUCUUUUGAAUCUGAUAAACUUGUAUUAACCAGAAAUGGUAUUUUUGUGGGUAAAGGCUUUUGUAAUGCUGGACUUUUUGUUUUGGAUGUUGUUAUUGAUAAUAAAAACUCUACUGCUUCUGUUUA